AGUGAACGCUGGCGGUAUGCCUAAUACAUGCAAGUCGAGCGGCAGCACAGUGAGAUUGCGCUUUUGCGGUUGGCGACUGGCGGGCGGGUGAGAAAUGGAUCGGCAUCUUCUUUUUCGGGGGUGACUACGGGGGGCCACUUAUGCUAAUAGCUCAUAUAUUGUACGGGAUGAAUCAAUGGUUCAUGGGACCUUGGCCGAUUGUAUUAGCCGGUGUCGGAUUAGCUAGUUGGCGAGGUAAGGGCACACCAAGGCAACGAUCCGUAGCUGAGCUGAGAGGAUGAUCAGCCACACUGGAACUGAGACACGGUCCAGACUCCUACGGGAGGCAGCAGUGGGGAAUCUUGCACAAUGGGCGAAAGCCUGACCGAGCAACACCGCGUGGGUGAAGAAGGCCUUCGGGUUGUAAAGCCCUUUUGUUAGGAAAGAACAGAAGCAGGUUAAUACCCGGAUGUUUUGACGGUACCUAAAGAAUAAGCACCGGCUAACUUCGUG
rnacentral:rRNA from 1 species